UAUCAGCCCUGAGUUUAUUUCCUG
rnacentral:piRNA from 1 species